UACGUAGGUGACCAGCGUUGUCCGGAUUUACUGGGCGUAAAGCGUGCGUAGGCGGAAGUUUAAGUGUGGCCUGAAAGCCCCCGGCUCAACCGGGGAGGGUGGCUGCAAACUGGGCUUCUUGAGGGCGAUAGAGGAGAGUGGAAUUCCGGGUGUAGCGGUGAAAUGCGUAGAUAUCCGGAGGAACACCAGUGGCGCAGGCGGCUCUCUGGGUCGGCCCUGACGCUGAGGCACGAAAGCGUGGGGAGCGAACGGG
rnacentral:rRNA from 1 species